rnacentral:rRNA from 1 species
GAUGAACGCUAGCGACAGGCUUAACACAUGCAAGUCGAGGGGCAGCGGGGUAGUGCUUGCACUACUGCCGGCGACCGGCGCACGGGUGAGUAACACGUAUGGAACCUGCCCGCAGCAGGGGGAUAAGCGGAAGAAAUUCCGUCUAAUACCGCGUAACAACGUUGGGAGGCAUCUCCCGAUGUUUAAAGAUUUAUCGGCUGCGGAUGGCCAUGCGGCGCAUUAGCUAGUCGGCGGGGUAACGGCCCACCGAGGCGACGAUGCGUAGGGGUUCUGAGAGGAAGGUCCCCCACACUGGUACUGAGACACGGACCAGACUCCUACGGGAGGCAGCAGUGAGGAAUAUUGGUCAAUGGCCGAGAGGCUGAACCAGCCAAGUCGCGUGAGGGAAGACGGCCCUACGGGUUGUAAACCUCUUUUGUCGGGGAGCAAAGCGAACCACGUGUGGUUCAUUGAGAGUACCCGAAGAAAAAGCAUCGGCUAACUCCGUGCCAGCAGCCGCGGUAAUACGGAGGAUGCGAGCGUUAUCCGGAUUUAUUGGGUUUAAAGGGUGCGCAGGCGGAGGUGCAAGUCAGCGGUCAAAUUGCGGGGCUCAACCCCGUACUGCCGUUGAAACUGCAUCCCUUGAGUGCGCGAGAAGUAUGCGGAAUGCGUGGUGUAGCGGUGAAAUGCAUAGAUAUCACGCAGAACUCCGAUUGCGAAGGCAGCAUACCGGCGCGCAACUGACGCUCAUGCACGAAAGCGUGGGUAUCGAACAGGAUUAGAUACCCUGGUAGUCCACGCAGUAAACGAUGAACACUAACUGUUCGGCCAGAAUGAUGGCUGAGUGGUACAGCGAAAGCGUUAAGUGUUCCACCUGGGGAGUACGCCGGCAACGGUGAAACUCAAAGGAAUUGACGGGGGCCCGCACAAGCGGAGGAACAUGUGGUUUAAUUCGAUGAUACGCGAGGAACCUUACCCGGGCUCAAACGACACAGGAAUACUUUUGAAAGGAGGUAGCCCUACGGGGUCUGUGUCGAGGUGCUGCAUGGUUGUCGUCAGCUCGUGCCGUGAGGUGUCGGCUUAAGUGCCAUAACGAGCGCAACCCCUAUCGCCAGUUACCAUCAAGUAAAGUUGGGGACUCUGGCGAGACUGCCGGCGCAAGCUGAGAGGAAGGCGGGGAUGACGUCAAAUCAGCACGGCCCUUACGUCCGGGGCGACACACGUGUUACAAUGGCAGGUACAGAGAGAAGCCAGGUGGCGACACCGCGCGGAACUCGAAAGCCUGUCUCAGUUCGGAUCGGAGUCUGCAACCCGACUCCGUGAAGCUGGAUUCGCUAGUAAUCGCGCAUCAGCCAUGGCGCGGUGA